AAUAAGUUAGUAACAAAAACAUUGCGCGUGGUAGAAGGUUAAAAUCAUAGUCUUUACCUCUGUAUUUUUCCAGGCACCUAAAUUAUGUUAGAAAAUACAAUAAAAAAAGUUACAAACCUCCUUUUAAAACAACCAUUUUCUAAAUAUUCGCCAAAACCCUGACAAUUGUCAGAAAGCGUGGUAAUGGAGGUUUGUAGUAACUGUAACAACUUGCGACGAAACAGGGUGGAUGGGAAA